GUUUAUACAAAGUUAGAGACCUGAGCUAAUCUCUUUGGAGGCUCCAGGUUGGAAAAGGUGACCUUGAUGAAACCGAUAAGCCUCCAGAGGCAUCAACAACUUCCUAAAAAAAUGCAAAUGACCAGCUGUCUGCAAAGAGUAUAAAUCUUUCCAUUCCCUACCAUCCAAUCAGAGCUGAAGAAGUUUCUUGGAUGAGAAGUGAAAUGUCUUCAAAGAAAAACAAGAAAGUCCAGUUGCCUCAUGAAAAGCACCUUUGGGACGACCUGAAAGAUUCAGUUUCUCCAGAAAAUCUGCUUCUUGAAGUUAAAGUGAUUUUUGCUGGAUAAAAUGAAGAUGUAUGAAAUAGGGUCAUAAUUCUUUAAUGAAUACCAGAGAGCCUUGUUCUUAUAAUGUUUAAUGCCAAGCACAUCUUUUUAAAAGUGUGUAGAGCCCUUGUCGCCUAGUCACAAGGUAACAAAUUUGACUGCAGGAAGCCUUGGAUAUGUAUGUUGCUAUAUGUUCGUGUGUAACAUUUUAAAAAACAAAAUAAAUAUAAGAUGAAUAAGAUAAGUAAGUAAAAGAGUAAAACUUUCUAUUCUGAAACUGUAGGAUCCAAUCUGGGUCAGUCACUGGGACCAGAGAUUUAGUCAUUCUGAAAUUGUUAAAUUGCUUUUUGUUAUGACAUUUUCCCCAAUAUUCAGCUAAAAUAUGCCUGCCUUAAACUACUAAAAUAUCCCAUUAUUC